rnacentral:rRNA from 1 species
GACGAACGCUAGCGGCGUGCCUAAUACAUGCAAGUAGAACGCUGAAGGAGGAGCUUACUUCUCUGGAUGAGUUGCGAACGGGUGAGUAACGCGUAGGUAACCUGCCUGGUAGCGGGGGAUAACUAUUGGAAACGAUAGCUAAUACCGCAUAAGAGUAGAUGUUGCAUAACAUUUACUUAAAAGGUGCAAUUGCACCACUACCAGAUGGACCUGCGUUGUAUUAGCUAGUUGGUGGGGUAACGGCUUACCAAGGCGACGAUACAUAGCCGACCUGACAGGGUGAUCGGCCACACUGGGACUUAGACACGGCCCAGACUCCUACGGGAGGCAGCAGUAGGGAAUCUUCGGCAAUGGACGGAAGUCUGACCGAGCAACGCCGCGUGAGUGAAGAAGGUUUUCGGAUCGUAAAGCUCUGUUGUAAGAGAAGAACGAGUGUGAGAGUGGAAAGUUCACACUGUGACGGUAUCUUACCAGAAAGGGACGGCUAACUACGUGCCAGCCGCCGCCGUAA